AAAAAUUUAGUUAAAUCAUAACAUCAGCUUGUCAAGCUGAAAUUAUUAAUAUUAAUAAUUUUUG
rnacentral:tRNA from 1 species